UUCCGCCCGGACAGAACACCGGAACUUCCGGUAGCGCCGUAAGAAGGAAAAUCAGGGAAUUCGAUGCACCUGUGCCUAGUUAGGGACAGCGGUUGGUGAUUGGAGGAUACGCUGGACAAGGCAGUACUUAAGGCCAAGUUAUUUCACAGUCUGGGAGCUCUUUCUGGCUGGAAUUGUAUGAUUGUGAAGACAUCGCGAACCUUAAAGGUUGAGAAGUGAACGGAUUAUACGGCGAACUGAGACGACGUGAAAAAGGGGAUUGGAAGCGGCAUUGAUGUGAGUACUAAGAGCCAGUCGAAAGUGCCCUGUAUAUUGACCUGGCGUUGUGUAGAUCUCUCCAGGAGGAGGGCGGCCCUACCCCUAAUAUAGCGUGGUGGGAGAGCCGAAGGAAUACUUAUUGAAGUAGUCACAACGACGACAUCACUAGCUAGGCCGCAUAUUCCAUCGCCAGAUCCGAACCAAGCGAAGUGAAGGAAGACGGGUGUCCUUUUCGUACACUGAGUGUGGUGGGUGAGUCUUCGUGCUGUGAAAACCUAUAAUUUUGACGUGGUGUUGUAUAUUGCUGUGGGCUGCUGUGUAUUGCCGUGUGUCCUGUCAGAUAAACCCCCGCCUUCACGCACUUCGUCGCGGGAGGACAAGGAGACUGCUGGUCCUAGCCUAGUUCAGUACAGUAUAUGUUGUGAGCGUGCUUCAGAUCUCCGGAGAUAGCACGGUACGCUGUGUCCAGCCCAGAGGUGAAAGCCAUCCAAAGCAGAGUAACUGUGCUUUGUGUCCAAGUUGAUACCUGUGGAGAGGAAAGGAAAGAGAGAGUGAGUAACACAAGGAGAACCAGAGGGAACCUGUACUUACAGUACGCUGUGUUCAGCCCAGAGGUGAGAGCCAUUCAAAGCAAACUAACUGUGCUAUUGUGCCCAAGUUGAUAUCUGUGGAGAGAAAAGGAGAGAGAGUGAAUAACACGAGGAGAGACCGAGGGAAACCUGUACUUACGCCGCUGCCUGUGGAGAAAGAGAAAGCGACCGUUGCCUGUGGAGGAAGAGAAAGAGAGUGAGCACCCCGAGAACGAACUGUGUGAACCAGUACUUACCGUGAGCUGUAUUCAGCGAAGAGGAGGAAGAAGGAGGGCGCUACGGAUACCUAAGACUCAGGCCGGGGCCCGAGUCCCACGCCCCGGAUCCCCGUGGCCCCCUUGCUCCCUGACCUCUUCCCGGCCAUAGCCCAUCUGGAGGGCCGAGUCAG
ensembl:lncRNA